GUGCCAGCCGCCGCGGUAAUACGGAGGGGGCCAGCGUUGCUCGGAAUUACUGGGCGUAAAGGGCUCGUAGGCGGUCUGAUAAGUCCUGUGUGAAAUCCCUUGGCUCAACCAAGGAAUUGCGCAGGAUACUGUCGGACUAGAGGCCGGGAGAGGGAAGUGGAAUUCCCAGUGUAGCGGUGAAAUGCGUAGAUAUUGGGAGGAACACCGGUGGCGAAGGCGGCUUCCUGGACCGGUUCUGACGCUGAGGAGCGAAAGCUAGGGUAGCAAACAGGAUUAGAAACCCGUGUAGUCC
rnacentral:rRNA from 1 species